rnacentral:rRNA from 1 species
GACGAACGCUGGCGGCGUGCCUAAUACAUGCAAGUUGAGCGAUGAAGCCUGGUUCUUGCACCAAUUUCAAGAGCAGCGAACGGGUGAGUAACGCGUGGGGAAUCUGCCUUUGAGCGGGGGACAACAUUUGGAAACGAAUGCUAAUACCGCAUAACAACUUUAAACAUAAGUUUUAAGUUUGAAAGAUGCAAUUGCAUCACUCAAAGAUGAUCCCGCGUUGUAUUAGCUAGUUGGUGAGGUAAAGGCUCACCAAGGCGAUGAUACAUAGCCGACCUGAGAGGGUGGUCAGCCACAUUGGGACUGAGACACGGCACAAACUCCUACGGGAGGGAGCAGUAGGGAAUCUUCGGCAAUGGACGAAAGUCUGACCGAGCAACGCCGCGUGAGUGAAGAAGGUUUUCGGAUCGUAAAACUCUGUUGGUAGAGAAGAACGUGGGUGAGAGUGGAAAGCUCAUCAAGUGACGGUAACUACCCAGAAAGGAACGGCUAACUACGUG